GGGUCUGUGCACAGGGUGCCCGACGGUCUCCAAAGCCGAAGGCGGGGGUUCGAUUCCCUCCAGGCCUGCCA
rnacentral:tRNA from 130 species